CUCUGUAUAGCUCAGUUGGUUAGAGCGCUGCACCGGAAUGGCAGGGCCGUACGUUCGAUUGUUUUUACGCACUUUUGAGG